UCAGUCGACUCCUACGGGGAGGCAGCAGUAGGGAAUCUUCCACAAUGGACGAAAGUCUGAUGGAGCAACGCCGCGUGAACGAUGAAGGCUUUCGGGGUCGUAAAGUUCUGUUGUAAGGGGAAGAACAAGUGCCGCAGGCAAUGGCGGCACCUUGACGGUACCUUGCGAGAAAGCCACGGCUAACUACGUGCCAGCAGCCGCGGUAAUACGUAGGUGGCAAGCGUUGUCCGGAAUUAUUGGGCGUAAAGCGCGCGCAGGCGGCCUCUUAAGUCUGAUGUGAAAGACCCCCGGCUCAACCGGGGAGGGCCAUUGGAAACUGGGAGGCUUGAGUAUAGGAGAGAAGAGUGGAAUUCCACGUGUAGCGGUGAAAUGCGUAGAGAUGUGGAGGAACACCAGUGGCGAAGGCGACUCUUUGGCCUAUAACUGACGCUGAGGCGCGAAAGCGUGGGGAGCAAACAGGAUUAGAUACCCUGGUAG
rnacentral:rRNA from 1 species